CCUACGGUAGGCUGCAGUGGGGAAUAUUGCACAAUGGGGGAAACCCUGAUGCAGCAACGCCGCGUGAGUGAAGAAGUAUUUCGGUAUGUAAAGCUCUAUCAGCAGGGAAGAAAAUGACAGUCCCUGACUAAGAAGCCCCGGCUAACUACGUGCCAGCAGCCGCGGUCAUACGUAGGGGGCAAGCGUUCUCCGGAUUUACUGGGUGUAACGGGAGCGUAGACGGGGAUGCAAGUCUGAAGUGAAAGGCGGGGGCCCAACCCCCGGACUGCUUUGGAAACUGUAUGGCUGGAGUGCAGGAGAGGUAAGUGGAAUUCCUAGUGUAGCGGUGAAAUGCGUAGAGAUUAGGAGGAACACCAGUGGCGAAGGCGGCUUACUGGACUGUAACUGACGUUGAGGCUCGAAAGCGUGGGGAGCAAACAGGAUUAGAUACCCGGGUAGUC
rnacentral:rRNA from 1 species